rnacentral:rRNA from 1 species
UACGUAGGGUGCGAGCGUUAAUCGGAAUUACUGGGCGUAAAGCGUGCGCAGGCGGUUCUGAAAGUCAGCUGUGAAAGCCCCGGGCUUAACCUGGGAACUGCGGUUGAAACUACAGGACUAGAAUCUGGCAGAGGGGGUGGAAUUCCACGUGUAGCAGUGAAAUGCGUAGAGAUGUGGAGGAACACCGAUGGCGAAGGCAGCCCCCUGGGCUGAGAUUGACGCUCAGGCACGAAAGCUAGGGGAGCAAACGGG